UACGUAGGCAGCGAGCGUUGUUCGGAGUUACUGGGCGUAAAGGGUGUGUAGGCGGUUCUCUAAGUUUGGUGUGAAAUCUCCCGGCUCAACCGGGAGGGUGCGCCGAAAACUGGAGGGCUAGAGUGCGGGAAGGGAGAGUAGAAUUCCUGGUGUAGCGGUGAAAUGCGCAGAUAUCAGGAGGAACACCAAUGGCGAAGGCAGCUCGCUGGGACGUGACUGACGCUGAGACGCGAAAGCGUGGGGAGCAAACAGG
rnacentral:rRNA from 1 species